UUACUACUUAAUAUACACAUGCAAGUCUCCGCCCCCCUGUGAAAACGCCCUUAACCCCUCUAAGGGGCAAGGAGCUGGUAUCAGGCACAAAAAUUAGCCCAAGACACCUAGCUACGCCACACCCUCACGGGAAUUCAGCAGUGAUAAACAUUGAAUAUAAGCGCCAGCUUGAAUCAGUUAAAGUAGAAAGAGCCGGCUAAUCUGGUGCCAGCCGCCGCGGUUACACCAUGUGGCUCAAACUGAUCCUUUUCGGCGUAAAGCGUGAUUAAAGUUAAUCUUUUACUGCAAUUAAACUAGAAUUAAGCCGUGACASGCUUGUUAUUAAGAAACCUCAUUACGAAAGUCAUUGCACUCCUAACAACUUGAACUCACGACAGCUAGGAAACAAACUGGGAUUAGAUACCCCACUAUGCCUAGCCGUAAACUUUAAUUUACCCCCCCCCUCGCCCGGGAACUACGAGCAAAGCUUAAAACCCAAGGGACUUGACGGUACCCCAAAUCCACCUAGAGGAGCCUGUCCUAUAAUCGAUAACCCCCGUUUUACCUCACCCCUUCUUGUUUUCAGCCUGUAUACCUCCGUCGUCAGCUUACCACGUGAGCGCCAAUUAGUGAGCUUAAUGCCCCUACGCCAACACGUCAGGUCAAGGUGCAGCAUAUGAAGCGGAAAGAGAUGGGCUACACUGUCUACUUUAGACCACACGAAAGACUAUAUAUGAAACCUAGUCGGAAGGCGGAUUUAGAAGUAAAAGAAAAGUAGCGUGCUUUAUUUAACUUAGGCCCUGGGGUGUGUACACACCGCCCGUCACCCUCUUCGAAGAUUCAACGUAAGUUCUUGACACAAUUGAGCUUCCCAGAAGAGGCAAGUCGUAACAUGGUAA
rnacentral:ncRNA from 1 species